rnacentral:rRNA from 1 species
AAUCUUGCGCAAUGGAGGGAACUCUGACGCAGCGACGCCGCGUGAGUGAUGAAGGUCUUCGGAUCGUAAAGCUCUGUCCUUGGGGAAGAAGAUCGCCUUUUAGGCGAUUUGACGGUACCCAUGGGGGAAGCCCCGGCUAACUACUUGCCAGCAGCCGCGGUAAUACGUAGGUGGCAAGCGUUGUCCGGAUUUAUUGGGCGUAAAGCGCGCGCAGGCGGUCUUUUAAGUCUGAUGUGAAAUCUUACAGCUUAACUGUAAGCGGUCAUUGGAAACUGGGAGACUUGAGUGCAGAAGAGGAGAGUGGAAUUCCAUGUGUAGCGGUGAAAUGCGUAGAGAUAUGGAGGAACACCAGUGGCGAAGGCGACUCUCUGGUCUGUAACUGACGCUGAGGCGCGAAAGCGUGGGGAUCAAACA